rnacentral:rRNA from 1 species
GACGAACGCUGGCGGCGUGCUUAACACAUGCAAGUCGAACGGUAAGGCUCCAGCUUGCUGGGGUACACGAGUGGCGAACGGGUGAGUAACACGUGGGUGACCUGCCCUGCACUUCGGGAUAAGCCUGGGAAACUGGGUCUAAUACCGGAUAGGACCGCACCGUGAGGGUGUGGUGGAAAGUUUUUUCGGUGUGGGAUGGGCCCGCGGCCUAUCAGCUUGUUGGUGGGGUAAUGGCCUACCAAGGCGGCGACGGGUAGCCGGCCUGAAAGGGUGGACGGCCACAUUGGGACUGAGACACGGCCCAGACUCCUACGGGAGGCAGCAGUGGGGAAUAUUGCACAAUGGGCGGAAGCCUGAUGCAGCGACGCCGCGUGGGGGAUGACGGCCUUCGGGUUGUAAACUCCUUUCACCAUCGACGAAGGGUUUCUGACGGUAGAUGGAGAAGAAGCACCGGCUAACUACGUG